GUCCCGCUAUUCAAGUCCCAUUUUCCUUUUUGGGUUGUCCCACCGAUAAUGUCCCGUUUCCUAAAAAGGAAAUAAUAAGGGGAUGCUUAACUCACUAAUUGUUCAACUAAUAAACCCUUAAUUAACAGCCCAAUCAAAAACACAUUACAAUUUUACGCACAAGAAGCAUUCAACCCUAGCCCCGCCGCACCCACCCACUCACUGUCACGCCGACCCGCCGCCCCGCCGUGCCGGACCGAACCACCGCCCAGCGCC
rnacentral:lncRNA from 1 species